GUGUUUUAUGCUUUCCCAGGUUUCUUUCUUUUACUUAAGAUUCAGUUCUGCUGGGGUUGGAGAACAUACUUUGUAUAUCAAUCUUUUAAAUUAACGGAUGUUGCGGGAUUCUGGUCUUGAAGAACAGCGGAGCACUGACCUUGAGUUUACGGCUUCUCAAAUCAAAUGCAAGCCCUCAGCUAUUUCCUCAGAGCCAUGCCUGCCUGCCUGCUGCAAUGAUCACCAUGGACUCACUCUCUGAAACGGUCACAUUUCCAGACAUGAUGGCAACACCUGAUUAAGUUGCAUGCCUCUGCAUCAAAGCUAAGGACCUCUCAGUCCCGUUGGAUGAGUUGUUCUCUAUAGCAGAUAUGAGUAUGAUGGAAGACUUCCAGCUGCCAGUUCUGUCUCCAAUCAAUUGUGGAGGUGGUAUUGCGCUUGUGCAUGUGACUAUUACCUGGGAUCUAUGAACACACACACAGAUCAGGAGCCUCUUCCUUGAAUAGUAGAUUUGAUAACAGAGCUUUCAUGUGGGAAUAAUAUGAUUUCAUGAGUUUAGACAGUUUUCUUUUUUUAACGUGUUUUUAAAUUUAAAUUAGAAACAAGCUUG